GCAGUCGAACGAAAGUUUUUAACUUUAGUGGCGAACGGGUGCGUAAUACGUGCGAUUCUGCCCUUAGGAGAAGAAUAACUGCUGGAAACGGCUGCUAAAUCUUCAUAUGCCGAGAGGUGAAAUAGUUUCGACUGCCUAAGGAUGAGCUCGCGCCUGAUUAGCUUGUUGGUAAGGUAAUGGCUUACCAAGGCCACGAUCAGUAGCUGGUUUGAGAGAACGAUCAGCCACACUGGGACUGAGACACGGCCCAGACUCCUCCGGGAGGCAGCAGUGAGGAAUUUUCCGCAAUGGGCGAAAGCCUGACGGAGCAAUACCGCGUGAGGGAUGAAGGAUUUUGGUCUGUAAACCUCUUUUCUCAAGAAAGAAGUUCUGACGGUACUUGAGGAAUAAGCAUCGGCUAACUCCGUGCCAGCAGCCGCGGUAAUACGGGGGAUGCAAGCGUUAUCCGGAAUCAUUGGGCGUAAAGCGCCUGUAGGUUGUUUAAUAAGUCUGUUGUUAAAGACUAGGGCUUAACCCUAGAAAAGCAAUGGAAACUACUAGACUAGAGUAUGGCAGGGGUAGAGGGAAUUUCUAGUGUAGCGGUGAAAUGCGUAGAUAUUAGAAAGAACACCGGUGGCGAAAGCGCUCUACUGGACCAUUACUGACACUCAGAGGCGAAAGCUAGGGUAGCAAAAGGGAUUAGAUACCCCUGUAGUCCUAGCCGUAAACGAUGGAUACUAGAUGUUGUAUUUAUUUUACAGUAUCGUAGCUAACGCGUUAAGUAUCCCGCCUGGGGAGUACGCUCGCAAGGGUGAAACUCAAAGGAAUUGACGGGGGCCCGCACAAGCGGUGGAGCAUGUGGUUUAAUUCGAUGCAACGCGAAGAACCUUACCAGGGCUUGACAUACUGCGAAUCUCUUUGAAAGGAGAGAGUGCCUUCGGGAAUGCAGAUACAGGUGGUGCAUGGCUGUCGUCAGCUCGUGUCGUGAGAUGUUGGGUUAAGUCCCGCAACGAGCGCAACCCUUGUUUUUAGUUACCAAUUCGUUGGGUUUUCUAGAA
rnacentral:rRNA from 1 species